UUGGUUUGUGUGAACCCAGUUUACAAACAGGCUUCCUCCUCUCAUUCUUGAUGCAACAACCUAUAUGGUGUGUUUUUUUUGGCACAUUAUUAGUUGUUUUCUUCCCAUACCUAAUAUGCGAAUAGUAAUGAAGUCACUUAGGAAACAAUGUCAUCAACAAUGAAAAAAAUGACAACUUAAAAGAAAUAUGAGUAGCUAAGAUGAGAAAAAAAUAGCAGGGGUUAUUUUUGUGAAGUAACUGUGGGCAGGACUCACGGUUUGUGUUCAUAUGUAGUCAUCUAAAGGAUAUGACAGAGGUGAUUAAGCGCGGGCAAGGGCAUUGCAAGCGUGCAUACAUGUGAAACGAUUCUAAUGAAGCUGAGGCGGCGAGACAGCAGAGGUCCCCAGCAGCUAAUAAUAUCCAGAUGCUGGCGACCUCGUACAUGUAUGUACCCUAUUUUUAUCAUCUUCUCUCCUCUCUUUUUUUUGUCUUUAUGUUUGAUUUUUUUUUUGUUUUAUUAUUAUGUACCCUGCGGCGCAUUAUGAUGAUCUAGUCACGCUUCGGAUGAGAUAAACAAACAUCAGCAUAUCCAUCAGACAAAAGUACAGUGCUUUUUUGGAGAGAGCGAGAGAGAGAGAGAGAUUGUACUAAAGUGGAGUAGUGUUGGUAACUUUAAUUAUCCAGGGGGGCAAUGUACAUGUCUCUUGUUGCUUGCAGUCGUUUAUCCUGUAUUACAAUUUGUCUCAAAAUAAACUUAUUAUGAAAAUUAUUUAUAAUUAAUCUAAUGAUACUUAUUUUGUCUAUUUGUACAUAAUUUUAGUCAAAGUAAAAAUUGUUUGACUUAUCGAAAUAUGAGAAUUGCAUUUUUUUAUGGACAGGGGAGUAACAAAGUUGACAACAAAAAACGCAUGACUUAAUAGAAAAAAAACUAACAUGACUAUCUAACAUAGUAUGAUAAAUAUGAAAUUAAUUAUAGUAAUUAAACGGUAAUGAUACGGACCGAGCGUCGGGACUGUCGGACGUCGAUUCCACGCACCCACUCCUUAUUUUAUCACAGACACAUCUGACUCCGCACUAACCGCACACUACUUUCCUCAUUCCUUAUCCUUUUCUCCACAGCUCACUUCCAUGGUGCUCGCACCUCUUCGGUUGCCGCUUUGCCGACUCGUCAGGACAGACGCCACACGCCACUUCGCUGCUGCCCCGUGCCGCUCAUCGGCGCUCCCUCCCUCCCGGUGCUCGCGCCCCUCCCCUUGCUACCUCACUUGCUUGUCAGGACAGACACCGCGCGCUGCACGCCACUUCGCUGCUCAUCGAUGCUCCCUCCCUCCCUUCAUCCCUUCCUCCUCCACGACCUCCAUGCAACCUUGCUCCCACUCUCCCUACCGGAGACAAGGACAAUGACGGUGGCUUUGACGAGGUAGGUUGGUUUUCUCUGGAUCUGAGCCUUCCUCCUCCCUUCUUUCUCAUCUUUCUCCUUCUCCUCCAGAUCUGAGCCCUCCUCAUCCUCAUCCCCAUCCCCAUCCUCUGGAUCUGAGCCGCCUCCUCCUCCUUCUCCUCUGGAUCUAAGGCACACAAUGAUGGCUAGAGUCUCGAUGAGAUUUGAGAUCCUAUUUUCUCAUUCAUCCUGCGAGAUUGAAGGUGAUGGGCCAGGGCUAGAGCAUCCUGGACCUCGAAACCCAUCCCCUUGCUAUUUUGUACGCUUUUGUUGUUGUUUCUCUAUGUUGUAAUAGAUUUUUGGGGAUGUUGCAGAAGAUGAUUUUCAAAUGUUGCAAUAGAUGUGAAUCAUAUGUUACAGAAAGAGAGUAAUAUUUGUUGAGAUUGUUGCAAUAGGGUAUUUCAGUUAUCGAAAUUACCAUUUACAAAUGUUCCAGCACUGAAAGGUGAUUAUUGAGUUGUUUCCAUCUUUUCAUGUUUCAUUUUCAAUUUUAUCAUGUUGCAGUACUACUACAUGAGAUGUUGCAGUACUGCAUGAGAUGUUGCAUUAGUUUUUUUUUCUGAUGUUGCACCUUGCAUUGUGAUUUUUGUUUCUGCCAUUGCAGUAGCUUCGGUUUGAUGUUGCAACAAGUAAUUCUUCUCUAGACAUGUUGCAAGCGUUUUGAUCUGGAUGCUGCAUGGUGUUUUUUGCAAGUGUUUCAUUAGCAUGUUUUGAAUGUUUUAGCUAUUUUAUACUAAUGUUGCAAGUGUUUCAUCUAGAUGUUUCAAAAGUAUAUCUGGUGUUGCAGAUAGUGUAUUUUAGAUGCAUGUUUCAUAAGUUUCAUCUGCCUUCGGACGUAUGUUGUAAAUGUUGUAUCCGAAUGUUUCAAAAGUAGAUCCGGUGUUGCAUUGUGUUAUAACAGUCCAAUUUUUUUUUAAUUUUUUAUUGUUAUUAGAAAACACUAAAUUAAUUAAGGAUUUAAAAUUUUUGUAAAAUAUUCCAAGAUUUUAUUCAUUAUUGCUUUUAUAAAAUGAGGAAAAGGUGAAAUUUUAAAACUUUUAUAAAAUUAGGUGAAGGGUGUUUUGUUUUGUUAUGGUGUAAUUUGUGCCCUAGCUUUGUUUGGCUUGUGUAAAAAAAAAAUGAAUUACAAAAUUUCCAAAGAGCCACGUUUAGGUCCUUUUGGUUUUCGGAAAAAUAAAACUCCAAAAGUCAUAUUUAAAAAUUAAUUUAUAUUUGAGUGG
rnacentral:lncRNA from 1 species